GAAGGUGAUCUGUUUCAUGUUGAUCUGCUGGGUAACUCGUGCUGAUUCCGUUGGCGAGGCCUGUGUGUCCCCUGCAUCUCACUUCUCCUUGUGCAUCCUACUGAUGCUUGGAGCCCAAACAAGAGUCAACCUCCCUGGACAGAGGAGACCUGUUUUCUGUCAAGGGUAUUUAGUGAUUCUUCUUGCCUGCUAGAACCUCCAAACCAGUGACCACGGAGCUAAUAAAUGGAGGGCUGGCAUUAUUGCCCAGAUAAUUGUGACAAAUGAGGAAAUGUAUUUGAGGAAAAAUAAAUCUAUUACCU
rnacentral:snRNA from 14 species